rnacentral:rRNA from 1 species
CCCCUAGUAACUGCGAGUGAAGCGGGAAAAGCUCAAAUUUAAAAUCUGGCGGUCUUUGGCCGUCCGAGUUGUAAUCUGGAGAAGCGUUUUCCGCGUCGGACCGUGUAUAAGUUCUCCUGGAAUGGAGCGUCAUAGAGGGUGAGAAUCCCGUCUUUGACACGGACCACCGAUGCUUUUGUGAUGCGCUCUCAAAGAGUCGAGUUGUUUGGGAAUGCAGCUCAAAAUGGGUGGUAAAUUCCAUCUAAAGCUAAAUAUAGGCGAGAGACCGAUAGCGAACAAGUACCGUGAGGGAAAGAUGAAAAGCACUUUGGAAAGAGAGUUAAACAGUACGUGAAAUUGUUGAAAGGGAAACGCUUGAAGUCAGUCGCGUUGUCCGGGGAUCAACCUUGCUUUGGCUUGGUGUAUUUCCUGGUUAACGGGUCAGCAUCAAUUUUGAUCGUUGGAUAAAGUCUAGUCGAAUGUGGCAUCCCUCGGGGUGUGUUAUAGCUUCUAGUCGCAUACAACGGUUGGGAUUGAGGAACUCAGCACGCCUUAAUGGUCGGGGUUCGCCCACGUAACGUGCUUAGGAUGCUGGCGUAAUGGCUUUAAACGACCCGUCUUGAAACACGGACCAAGGAGUCUAACAUGCCCGCGAGUGUUUGGGUGGAAAACCCGGACGCGUAAUGAAAGUGAAAGUUGAGACCUCUGUCGUGGAGGGCAUCGACGCCCGGACCAGACCUUCUGUGACGGAUCCGCGGUAGAGCGUGUAUGUUGGGACCCGAAAGAUGGUGAACUAUGCCUGAAUAGGGUGAAGCCAGAGGAAACUCUGGUGGAGGCUCGUAGCGAUUCUGACGUGCAAAUCGAUCGUCAAAUUUGGGUA